rnacentral:rRNA from 1 species
UGGUGCCAGCAGCCGCGGUAAUUCCAGCUCCAAUAGCGUAUAUUAAAGUUGUUGCAGUUAAAAAGCUCGUAGUUGAAUUUCGGGAUCAGCAGGUUGGUCGUGCCUCUGGUACGCACUGGUUUCGCUGAUUCCUCCUUUCUGAAGAACUGUAAUGUCAUUAAUUUGGUGUUGCAGGGAAACAGGACUGUUACUUUGAAAAAAUUAGAGUGUUUAAAGCAGGCUAACGCUUGAAUACAUUAGCAUGGAAUAAUGAAAUAGGACGUUUGAUCCUAUUUUGUUGGUUUCUAGGAUUGACGUAAUGAUUAAUAGGGAUAGUUGGGGGCAUUAGUAUUCAAUUGUCAGAGGUGAAAUUCUUGGAUUUAUUGAAGACUAACUACUGCGAAAGCAUUUGCCAAGGAUGUUUUCAUUAAUCAAGAACGAAAGUUAGGGGAUCGAAGACGAUCAGAUACCGUCGUAGUCUUAACCAUAAACUAUGCCGACUAGGGAUCGGAUGAUGUUAAUUUUUUAAUGACUCAUUCGGCGCCU